AUGGCCUUCGGGCAAGAGGCCAUAGAACAACUAUCGCAGGAGCUUGUCGGCGGGUAUGAUCUCAACGCGAGGCUUCUGGCAUUGCUGCGCCGCGGCCCCCUCGACGGACGUGGACAGGAGAGGGCCGCGGCGAUGAGCCAGGAGCUCUCCCGGGUGUUCAUGGUGUCUCUGUUCAUGCUCAAUUCUCGAGAGAGCAGCAGAUCGGUGGUAGACAGGAUGGCAUCGCCAGCGGCAACGAUCACUGAGGGUAGCAUCGAUGAGCGGGCUCCGGCGAAGGACAUGCGUAUCUGUGGUGGAGAAGAGGUUGCUCCCCCGAGGAAGGGCAGAGAAAACGAGGUUAUCAAGAAGGAGAUUACAGCCUCGCCUUACAGUGAUGGUUACCAAUGGAGAAAAUACGGACAAAAGAACAUUCACAAAAGAAAAUUUGCAAGGUCCUACUACAAAUGCAUGUUUAGCCAUGACCUCGGCUGCAGGGCGAAGAAGACGGUGCAGCAGCAGGAUAGUAGCAGCGGCGAUCGUCCUAUGUUCCAGGUCACCUACGUGCACGAGCACAAGUGCCGACAACAAACAGUGCCUCCCGGAGAAGCUACCAAGAGCGGCCACUUCGAUCCUCAACCUCAACACGCCGAAUUGGAUGACGACACCAUGGCCUCGUGCCUCGCCAUGGUCAUCGGGGGAGCUGCGCCUGCAGGCCCGUCGUCCUCGCCCUUGCCGUCGCCGCCACCCGUG
rnacentral:rRNA from 1 species